CAGACAUGCUCCGUGCGUUCAGCCGAAAGGUGUACUCGUACGGUUGCAGGCUAGAGUCUGUUCUUGGGGUCGGAUAAGGGUCUUGGGAAUGUGGCUUUCCUUCGGGAAAGUGUUAUAGACCUCGAUCGAUGUGGUGACCGGGAUUGAGGAUUGCAGCGGAUACCCUCGUGGUUUGUCACCUGACUUCUGACAGUUGCCCUCGCUUUCGACAGCUUGCUAACGUUGCGGGACUCGAUUGUCUAGAUGUCAGAUUGACUCUAUUUCGC
rnacentral:rRNA from 1 species